rnacentral:snoRNA from 1 species
UGUGCCAGUGAUGAAAGUGCCAUGAACUAUGGGUUAUGAUUAAUCUAAUUCUGUGUCCCCAAGAUUUAAA